GGCCUUGACAUACUAAGAACUUUCCAGAGAUGGAUUGGUGCCUUUCGGGAACUUAGAUACAGGUGCUGCAUGGCUGUCGUCAGCUCGUGUCGUGAGAUGUUGGGUUAACGUCCGCAACGAGCGCAACCCUUUUCCUAUUUGCCAGCGGGUAAUGCCGGGAACUUUAAGGAUACUGCCAGUGACAAACUGGAGGAAGGCGGGGACGACGUCAAGUCAUCAUGGCCCUUACGGCCAGGGCUACACACGUGCUACAAUGGUCGGUACAAAGGGUUGCUACCUCGCGAGAGGAUGCUAAUCUCAAAAAGCCGAUCGUAGUCCGGAUCGCAGUCUGCAACUCGACUGCGUGAAGUCGGAAUCGCUAGUAAUCGCGGAUCAGAAUGCCGCGGUGAAUACGUUCCCGGGCCUUGUACACACCGCCCGUCACACCAUGGGAGUUUGUUGCACCAGAAGUAGGUAGUCUAACCGCAAGGAGGACGCUUACCACGGUGUGGCCGAUGACUGGGGUGAAGUCGUAACAAGGUAAGCGUAGAUGA
rnacentral:rRNA from 1 species